UUUAAAGGUCUGCAUGUUUAUCACAGUAUGACAGAGAGUUGAGCUUCACUCACACAGAAUUACAGGAGACCAUGAGUUUCAUCCUGAUCUUCUUGUGGGCAUUUGCCUUCAGCAGUCGAGGAUCCAGUGGUCAGAUCACAGUGACUCAGAGUCCUCCGGUGAAAUCUGCUCGUCCAGGAGACACAGUCACUCUAAAAUGUAACCCCAGUACUUCGAGUGGUCUUGGUAGCAGCCUGUCCUGGUACCAGCAGAAAGAUGGAACAGCUCCUAGACUCCUGAUAUACAGCGUAAGCAACCGUUUCUCUGGAACCCCAGAGCGGUUCAGCGGGUCUGGAUCUGGGACCGACUUCAGUCUGACCAUCAGUGGAGUCCAGGCUGAGGAUGCAGCCACAUACUACUGUUUUGGUAAUUUUUAUGCUCCAAACUACACACAGUGAUAGAGAGCCGUACAAAAACCUCCCUCAGUAACACCACACAGUAACUGCAUCACUGAAGCAAGACCUGUCCAACGAAGAGCUGCUCUUUCGCUGUGAAACUGAUCUGUGUUUUUAACAC